rnacentral:rRNA from 1 species
GUGGUUUGUCGCGUUGUUCGUGAAAUCUCACGGCUUAACUGUGAGCGUGCGGGCGAUACGGGCAGACUUGAGUACUGCAGGGGAGACUGGAAUUCCUGGUGUAGCGGUGGAAUGCGCAGAUAUCAGGAGGAACACCGGUGGCGAAGGCGGGUCUCUGGGCAGUAACUGACGCUGAGGAGCGAAAGCGUGGGGAGCGAACAGGAUUAGAUACCCUGGUAGUCCACGCCGUAAACGGUGGGUACUAGGUGUGGGUUUCCUUCCUUGGGACCCGUGCCGUAGCUAACGCAUUAAGUACCCCGCCUGGGGAGUACGGCCGCAAGGCUAAAACUCAAAGAAAUCGACGGGGGCCCGCACAAGCGGCGGAGCAUGUGGAUUAAUUCGAUGCAACGCGAAGAACCUUACCUGGGUUUGACAUGCACAGGACGCCGGCAGAGAUGUCGGUUCCCUUGUGGCCUGUGUGCAGUUGGUGCAUGGCUGUCGUCAGCUCGUGUCGUGAGAUGUUGGGUUAAGUCCCGCAACGAGCGCAACCCUUGUCUCAUGUUGCCAGCGGGUAAUGCCGGGGACUCGUGAGAGACUGCCGGGGUCAACUCGGAGGAAGGUGGGGAUGACGUCAAGUCAUCAUGCCCCUUAUGUCCAGGGCUUCACACAUGCUACAAUGGCCGGUACAAAGGGCUGCGAUGCCGCGAGGUUAAGCGAAUCCUUUUAAAGCCGGUCUCAGUUCGGAUCGGGGUCUGCAACUCGACCCCGUGAAGUCGGAGUCGCUAGUAAUCGC